AUUGAACGCUGGCGGAAUGCUUUACACAUGCAAGUCGAACGGUAACAGGUCUUCGGAUGCUGACGAGUGGCGAACGGGUGAGUAAUAUAUCGGAACGUGCCCAGUCGUGGGGGAUAACGUAGCGAAAGUUACGCUAAUACCGCAUACGAUCUAUGGAUGAAAGCGGGGGAUCGCAAGACCUCGCGCGAUUGGCGCGGCCGAUAUCAGAUUAGGUAGUUGGUGGGGUAAAGGCUCACCAAGCCAACGAUCUGUAGUUGGUCUGAGAGGACGACCAGCAACACUGGAACUGAGACACGGUCCAGACUCCUACGGGAGGCAGCAGUGGGGAAUUUUGGACAAUGGACGCAAGUCUGAUCCAGCCAUUCCGCGUGCAGGAUGAAGGCCCUCGGGUUGUAAACUGCUUUUGUACGGAACGAAAAGGUCUCUCCUAAUACGAGGGGCUCAUGACGGUACCGUAAGAAUAAGCACCGGCUAACUACGUGCCAGCAGCCGCGGUAACAC
rnacentral:rRNA from 1 species